rnacentral:tRNA from 1 species
CGGAGUGUAGUUCAGUUGGUUUAGAACGCUACUUUCGGGAAGUAGAGGUCGCCCGUUCGAGUCGGGUCACUCCGA